UACGUAGGUGGCAAGCGUUGUCCGGAUUACUGGGCGUAAAGGGAGCGUAGGUGGAUAUUUAAGUGGGAUGUGAAAUACUCGGGCUUAACCUGGGUGCUGCAUUCCAAACUGGAUAUCUAGAGUGCAGGAGAGGAAAGUAGAAUUCCUAGUGUAGCGGUGAAAUGCGUAGAGAUUAGGAAGAAUACCAGUGGCGAAGGCGACUUUCUGGACUGUAACUGACACUGAGGCUCGAAAGCGUGGGGAGCAAACAGG
rnacentral:rRNA from 1 species